rnacentral:tRNA from 1 species
UCUCUCUAGUACAGACACAGUAUGAGUGACUUCCAAUCACAUGGCCUUGGUUUAACUCCAAGAAGAGAUA